UCUGUUAAAAAAAGAAAAUCUAUCUUGGUCACUCCUGUUGCCUCCAGCUCAGGUAGUGCAGGGCACAGGGCCUUGCUGCCCAAGGCGCUUUGCUUCGCUUCGCUUCGCGGGGCUGGCUACCCAUAAUGACAGUGUCCCGGGGACGGCGCUUGUGUAACAGGCAGAUUUACCAAGAGGGGACGACUGUUUGCUCAGCAGCUGAGCAGUCUAUAAUUAGACUGUCACAACAUCAGCAAAAGUACAGGAUCAAUGUAAUCAGAGAAGAAAUGGAAAAGAACGCCGCAUCAGUCAAAGCCUCCAGUGGGUCCCCGUGGUUUCCGGAGCACUAAUCGCCCGGGUGGGGCUCGAUGCCCUGCUUGUGGGUUUCCUCCUGGGUGAAGACAAGGUUUGCUUAGGCAGACUAGGCCUGCCCUUCUCAGCCACCUGGUUCAUUUCCACAUCUCUGUCCCCCUCUCCUCUGCUCACUGAGAGCAAGCAGGACUUGCAGGUCAAACUCAUGGCUGAGACACGACUGAUCUCCACCAUAUGCGCGGGUCGGUUAAGUGGGAAGGGCUAGCUUCUCUAACUCAAAGAUUCCUAGGUUCCAUCUCAGCCCUGCGCAACCAGAAGCUGUGGGAUGAGCACCAAAGACAGUCUCUGUGUGGCACAUUCCAGGUGCUUACUAUGCAAACGAAAAGCUGAGAACUGCUAGGCCAUCUGCUGGUCCCAGCUCACAGUGGACUGGCCCUCUAGCGCCUACUGGACACCUGGGUGUUUCUAACAGUCUGACAGACCAGCCAAAGGUAAAAAAACCUUUCCAAGCCCAGGAAUGAUAAUAGGCUUAUGUCCCUUUUAAUUAUCUUAAGAAUCCCAAGUCCCAGACAUGUUUAUCUCAUUAAUCCCCAUGACACCUGAGCCAGGGAGUCGUGUACAGUACCUAUAGCUUCCACCAAAGUAGAUCAGGGUCACAUGUGUCCUGAGAUAAUUGGGAUCUGGGGGCUUGGAGCCUUUCCCCAGCCUGAUUCUCACAGAAUCAACUGGAUUUUUUUUUUUUAAUCUGUGUGAUUUAUUUAGUAAACAGGUUUUUUAUUUGUUUGUUUUUUUUACAUUAAUACUACAUGGUAGAAAAAACAGAAACUAGAGACAAAAGGAAGGAGUAAAUUAUGACUGAUGCCGCUACAGUGUGUUUAUAUUUUUGUGUUUAACCGUCCACACUGUGCACGUGUGUUUGUGUGCACUCCUACACGUACACUUUCCUGUAUAUGCAAAAUCCCUGCAGAGAGAGAUCCAUGACCCGUGGGAGCAGGGCUACUGACAGGAACUCAAUGAAGGGCAAAGGGAAGGGCCACCUGUAUCAGUGACUCUCGUUGUGAUAGAAUAGCUUACAAAUGCAAGCGAAGAAAGGAAGCUUGGUUCUUGCUCAGUGGGCGGGUGCAGUCCAUCAUGGCUGGCAAGUCCAGGCCACAGGAGCUUGACAAAGCCGGUCACAUUGUAUCCAUGCAUAGGAAGCAGAAAGCGAUGGAUGAUGUCUGUCCUCAUUUUCCAUGUUUACUUUGUCUGGGACACCAUCCCUUGUGGAAUGUCCCUGCCCACAUUUAGGGUUGGUCUUCAGACCCCUAUUAACCAAAUCUAAGUAAUCCCUCACGUGCCCUUAAAAGGAAUGGCUACGCCUAUAGAACUAACAGGAAAUGGGAGGCCAUUUCCACACCAGGCCUUAAGGGAUAAAGCAAGGUACCAGAACCUGGGGACAGUUGCUAUGGCUACAAGAGGGCUAUAUGACAAGAUUUAGGUUAAGGAGUUCUGUGUCAGCCCAAUAAGCCCACCUACCCUACCUUCUGCAAACAUGGGGAUCUCUGCCUGUCCCUCCUAUGAGCUGCCCAGCUACCAGUAGAUUGGUGCUACCACCACAGACUCAGCAGGAUGUAAAAGUGGGAGGGAGAAGGUCUGCAUGGCACUCUAUUGCUAUGAAGAAACAUGAUGACCAUGACAACUCUUAUACAGAAAAAACAUUUAAUUAGUUAAAGAAAAAACAUUAAUUCCAGUUCAGAGAUUUAGUCCAUUAUUGUCAUGGCAGGAAGCAUGGUGGCACACAGAUAUGGUACUAGAGAGGCAGCUGAGAAUUUUAUAUCCAUGCCAGCAGGCAGCAGGAAACAAGAGGGACGCUGGGCCUGGCUUGACCAUUUGAAACCUCAGAGCCCAUCCCCCAGUGACAUACUUCCUCGAACAAAGCCACCCUCCAGUAAUGCCACUCCCUAUGAGCCUAUGGUGGCUAUUUUUCUUCAGACCAAUACAGUUGGUUAAGCUGGUAAAACACAAUCUUCCAUCUUUGGUGAGUUCCACUGCACUGAAUCAGCAUAAAGAAUGACUGCUUUACAGUGUUUCCCCCACACUGUGAGCCAGGAACCCAGAUUGCUAGCUCUAAGUCAACCAAUUGUUCAGUGAAUGUGGACUCCUCCAUAGGUAAAGUGCUGGAUAGGAAGGGAGAACCAGAGGAGACUUGCAGAGCCUCAGCCUCCAGAAGCUUAUAGCUUCAUCAAGGAUUUGGGGAUGCACUAAGACAUAUCAGCCAGACAGAAGGACAAGCCCUAAGAGAAAGAGGUAAAAGUAUGUGUGUCCCCAAAUUCAUCUGCUGGAAAUUAUCUCCACCUCGCGGUCCACAGGUGACAGGUAGCAUCUUUAAGAGGUGACUGAGUUGGGAGGUGUCGCCCUUGUGAGUAGAUGACUGAUUUUACUUUCUUCACAGCCAGGAGUCCCCUCCCCCACAAACACAGCCCUCAGUCUUGAAUUGCCCAACUACCAGAACCAAGAGCUAAAAACCUUUGAUGGUUUAUAAUUUACUUUGGGUUUAUAAUUUAAUGUUUGUGGUGUUAAUUGUAGCAACAGAAACUGAACUAAGGCCAGCUGUAGUGGUGCAUGCCUUUAAUCUUAGUACUCAGGAGGUAGAGGCAGGCUGAUCUCUGAGGUUUUGGCCAGCCUGGUCUACAGAGGGAGUUCCCUGUUAGCCAGGGCGACACAGGGAAAUGCUGUCUCAAAAAAACAAACAGAAAACUGAACUAAGACAGACAGAUACAAAUAUUUACACUAAGGGUAGCUAAUAUUUUAGGCUCCUCACAGUUGAGUUAUUAUUAAAAGACAGCCCCUACUAUAUAUUGGUGUUCUUCUAAGUUAUUUGUAUAUAUUUACAUUAUUUAAUCUCCCCAGAUCCCCAUGAGGUAGUCAUAGGUUUCCUUGCCUCUGGCUCUCAUAGACUCUCUGAUGGCUGCUUGGCCAACUGGAAUUCCCAAGUCUCCUUUCUGGCCAUUCUCACGUCUAGUGGGGGUUGAAGAUAAAAAAUGUUAAGUGUGCACACUGGGCACGCUUGACUGGUGCCCAGCUCUCGGUAAUAUGCUGCCUCCUACUUGGGUUUAACUGAUGUCCCAACCCCUAGGCAGUUGACCUGGGGCUGCCAGUUGCCUUGCCUCACAUUGGCCAAGCUGGGGUCAUUCAGGGUAAAGCAGUGUCCUAGCCUGUGCUCUACUCAGCUUAUGAAGGAAGAGAAGAGAGCCCUCCCUCUGUGUGGGCUGGAUGGUUACAGAACCCCCGCCACUGUUUGCUGCCCCGAGAUGACCGAGGCGUGUGGUGACUGACACACGGGUGGAUGCAGAGGCACAGAAUCAGGACCACCAAACUGGAGGCCCCAUUGCUUCCAAGACUCUCUCCUCCAACAGUACCACCCUCUCUAAGUGUUCUAGGCAAUUAUAGUUUUGAUACCUAGAUGAAUAUUUUUCCAACUCAAACCUUGUGAGCUUACAGGUAAAGCAAGACUGAAAACAUCACUGUAGACCAUUUAAGGGCUGCCCUGGUCUUCUAUCAUCUGUUCUGAAGCUAUCCAUCUCUGUUUUCCUGUCCUGUGGAUGAGCACCAGCUCGCCAGUGGAAGUGGAAGCCUGGACGGGCAACCCAAUAGAAUCCUGGACCCCACAGAGGAGCCAGUGCUGCAGCCUGAAGGACAGGACUUGGGUCCCACUAUGAGGCAGCUCCGGGCUCAGAGGCCAGCCUGAGGUCAGAGACUCAAGCUUCAGUCCUGGUCCCACCACGGCAACUUGAGGCAAGUUCCUUGGCUUCUCUGAGCUUUGGUCUCCUCAACUGCAGCAGCAAGAGCCAGGAACUUCCCACCCCGUGUCCACCAUGUGGUUGGCGACUCUUCUCACUUAGCAGAUCUUGCCAUCUGAAUCCUGUGCUCUCAGACAACACUGCUCAUGUGUAAAACAGUACCAAGAUCCAGAAACAAGUUCAAAUCCACGUGGCGCCUCUCUCUCUGGCUCCGCAAGUCACUUCGCUAGCACUUCAGGUGUCAGCUGUCACUUUAACAUCUUCCAAGGAACAGACCACAACUGUCUUGGAGCUACAGACCCAGACUGCCCCAUGUACAGUGUGCAGAGGCUUGGCAGGCAGUGUUUUUCAGACGAGGAAACCAAGGCUUUGAAGACAGUAUGAGAAAUGCCUUGUUCAAGGCCCUGGGGUUAAGCAGAGGUAAGGUUGGGGAAUAUCUUCUCGUUUCAAAACAGCAUUGUGCAAGCUAACCCACUGCCAUGAAAAUGUCCCCCCUGCACCUGUCCUCUCCUCCCAACCUUCUUUUCUGAAAUAGGAUCAGACCUCAGCUGGCUGAGAACUUGUCAUCCUCCUGCCUCAGACUCCUGCAUACUGAGAUCAAAGGUGUGUACCACUAGGCCCAUCAAAGGUCAACCUUUUCUAAGGCAAGGUUCAGUGAACUUGGUGUGUCUGCAGGAUUCUACAGUCCUCUCCACAGUCUCAUUCGAAAACACCUCAUCACUGCACCAAGAAACUCUGCACCCAUCAGUUAUGUCUGCCCCUCCCCAACUCCUUCUGCCACUAGAAAUAAUUAAUCUUUCUCUCUAUAGCUUUGCUUAAUUUGGACAAUAGUCCUACAAGUAGAUCUAUUAUUGUAUGUGCUCUUUUGAGACCGGAUUCUUUCACUUAGACAGUUCUUAAGGUUUGUUUGUGGUUAGCAGGAAUGAACACUUCAGUCCUAUUACAGCUGAGUAAGACCCCAAACGUGGAGUUGUUUCUCCUGUUCAUCACUGUCAUUGAUGGACAUGCGGGCUGUGUCCACCUCUUGAGCAUUAUGAACAGGGUGCCUCUGAACAGUCACAUACAAUUCUGUGUGUGUGCAGGUGUUCAGUUUGAGGAGUGGCUUAUACAGGAUCGGUUAAAGAGUAGCCUCCCUUUGCUAUGCCAUUUCUCAGAACCUUGGCACGCCAACAUGCAUCUUCCAAAUGUAUUUGGCCAGGAAACUAUUUUCCCCAUAAAGUAUCCAGGAAGACAUUGGAAAGUCUGAUUUAAUGCACCCAUUUUGCACCCAGAGGUUCAGCAACCCACAUCAUAGACGAGCGUAAGGGGUGACCUAUUGCAGUAGACCAAAGCAACAUGCGGCUGUCUGAAUGGGAAGAAGCUUCGUAAACAAGGGAUAUUCAAGAGUCACAAAGGCAUUGGAAAAAUGAAUGUGGCUCCAUACAUAAACAAUGAAACGUCUGAACCUCAAGCUACAGAUGAACGCAAUUAGCGAGCAAAUGGCCAUGCUAAGAUAGCCCACUGUAUUUUACUCCUGGCACUAAGGGAGAAAUCCCAAACAAUACCAACAACUGUGACUCUCAGGCCCUACCAUGGAGGUAGAUUUCAGUUAAAACUCCGGGAUGGGUGGGUCAGUGAUGUGGCUCAGCAGGUACAGGCAUUUACUGCCAAGCCUAAUGGCCUGAAUUUGUUUCCCAGAACCCAGAUGGUGGAAAGAGAAAACCAAGUCCACAAAUUAUCCCUUGACCUCCACAUGCAAGUGUCUCCCCCUCAUUCACCCAAACAAACAAGUCGAUGUUCAAAACUCCUGAGUGAUUAUAUUACAAAUUUAGUAUUAAAUAUUAGAAGAGCCUAUAUUAUACAAUUUACAGGUCAUGACUUGUUAAGAUAUAGCAGUAAGAAAAAGGCUCUGUGCUCUAGUAGGAAAGCAAGUAAAAGCCAAACACAUUUGUCCAAAAAAAAAAAAAAAAAAAAAAAAAAAAGGAAAACCAGUGCAAAUGUACUAUGAUGCAAUGACGUACAAACUGUAUGUUUACCAAACACUUCUAUGGUCCCGUAACUUGGAAUAUCUCAUUUAAGCCUUUCAACUAAUUCUAUGCUGUAUCCAUAUCCUAGAGACGGAGAAACUGAGGCCAGGGCAUGACUCCUAGCUCACAAAGGCUAUAGGGAACAGAAUGGCAACUGUCUCCAUUUGGCCUGGGAACUAGCGCUUUAAUCAACACAGUGAGCCUCUGAGCCUCAAUUCCACAAGCAUGCCUUCCUAUCCACCAAGCGGAAAACCUUUCCCAAGUCUUCAAAGUGCUGACUCCUGGGGCCCGAACCUCCACCUAUAUUCACAUCUUCUAAAACAAAAGCCAGCAUGAGGACAUAGCUUUACACUCCUAGGAUCGCAGGAAUGUGCCUCCACACUAAGAAGACACCACCUCUGACUCUCCAAAUUCCUAUGGGUCAGGAAGCCCUUGGGUGUUGCCUGGAUCUGGUGCAGGAACUGCUACAGAAUCCCCACCAAACCUGCUUCCCACUGAGCCCAGAGCAUCCUUUGUUCAGAGCACUACAUGGUUGGUACAAGCCACAUUCCUUUGUAAGGUGAAUGAUUUUCUAGUGUGCCAAGUUGGCUACAGAAAGCUUAACAACUAUUCUCUGAAAAGUGUUUUCUGUAGCUAAUUUGGGCCUAAUCCUUUCAAAGGUCAACAGGUAUCUCAGCCCAAGUUCACAAGAUAAGAAAAACAGGGAAGUCAACAGCUUGUCCAAGGUCACAUCCAAGGUGCACAAGGUUAAAGGUGAGGAGGCCAGGCCUGCCUCAAGUUCUGUCUGCACUUUAUUUCACUGAAUAGAUUCUAAUAUCUCAACCAAGGAUAGUCAGCAAACAUGACUUCUCCUUGCUCUGCUAGACUUCUGUAUGACCAAAGAUCAGCCACCAUUAUGGAACCAUGUCCUACCAGGUCCUUACAUCAUGCUCUGAUGGUCAAGUAUAAGACUCCAGCAUGCUGAGUAUGUACAGGUUCAAAGCCCUGUCUCUGCUGUUGUCCUAUAGGUAGGACUGGAUUUGUACUCUUACACUUUCCCUAAUUAAACAUCAUCUUGAUAAAAUCACUUUCUGGCCAGGCAAGAGUUUGGGGUCCUGGUUCCAUCAUUAGCAGCUCUCUUUUACAUUUGCUGUGACGGCACACUGAGGAAGGACUUUCAGAAAGGCGAAACACAUGGUAUCAGGGCUUUGGAGGGCUAGAGUCAGUGAGCUCUGGAGCUGAAUCCUAGUUUCGACAGUUAGGACCUCAUGACCUUGAGUAAUACAGCCAAUCUCUCAAAGUUUCUGUUUCCUGUCUGUAAAAGGGAUGAGGAAAACACUGGCUCACAAAGCAGGCACCAUCACGAGCCUGUGAUGCUGUCCCUGGCAUGAGAAGAGCAGGCAGUAGGUGGAGGCUGGGCAGCCCCUGUUUGGCCAUGUGCUCUGCACUGUGCUGGGACAGAGGGACAUUCUGGAAUGCUUCUCUUCAAUCCAUCCAAGGAUGGUCCCUCGUAGUCAUGGGUGCCAUCCCCUGGGGAGACGUGGCUUGUGACUGUCAUGAGUAAUGGGACAGGAAGCAUUGUCCUGCAGGGUCCGAAGGCAUGAGCCAAUUCUGGGACCCACCCAAGAACAAUGGCAGUUCUCCAUGGGUCAUGUUCACUGGAAGCUUGCUAUGGACAGCAUCUCUCAUGCCGACUUCCUCUUUUUUAUGCAGACCCGUGACCCCAGAGACCUCACUGAAUUCCACCUUUUCCUUCCUCUCAGGCAAACUCAACCAUCUACUCUCAGAUCUAGUCAAGGAAAAUGGCAACCUUUACCGUAGACUAAUUCCUAGGCAGCUUACAUUUGCAUAUAUGCUAAACAAUCAUGACAGUGUCCAGAGAAGUGUGUGUGUGACACAGGUAAGAUCUCAAUCUACAUCAUUUACAUGGGUGUGAUGGAACUGGGUUGCCUAAAACUCUCUUCCUCUGAUUCUAGAUGCCCCUCAACUUGCAACGUAGUGAUGUCCAGAUGAACUCACCAUGAACCGAAGAUGGGAAUUAAAAUGCAUGAAAUAUUUUUAAUCCACUUAAUCUACCUUCAGAAAGAAGACUGAGAGACAACUACUUCCUCAGGCCUCAGCAGCCUUAUCUCGGAAUUCUAGAAUCAGGCAGCAGUCUAGACCCAAAAUGGUUCAGAAUGUUCCAUGUCAGGCGCAAGAAGCAAGUCAGAAAGGAGGAAGUGAGACACAGAAACAGCCUGAUUGGCUCCAGCUCACAUCUGCUUGUUUAGUUUUUGUUUUUUUAAAUAAAGGUUUUAGUUAGCCCCUUG